CCUCAUGCCGGUAGCAGCAGUGUCUAGAGGUGUGGGUCGCAGCGCAAGUGAUCGUUGAGUGCUCGCCGACGGUGACACUGUCUGUGCGAGUGACGAGCCUGGGUCUGCGUUCAGCGAUCCCGAUGGGAGAAGGAACAAGUGAGGGGGGAAUCCAGGAAGGAUUGGCAGCAGAAAGGAGCCGAUCGCCAACGGAGAUCGCGUUGAGCAGAAUAUAAUUUACAUUUUGUCCAAUUGUCUUUGGUUGCACGUUUUUGAAAGACAAUAAAAUAACUUCCUGGUGGAAGAAGCCAAGCCUGUGUCCAGCGCUCGUAGAACUCGUUACAGUGGAGCCCAAUGUGGGGCCAGCGCACAGAAAUGGACCAGUCCCCAUUGGGAAACGUGCUCGGGC
ensembl:lncRNA